UACGGGGGGGGCAAGCGUUGUCCGGAAUCAUUGGGCGUAAAGCGCGCGUAGGCGGCCCCGUAAGUCCGCUGUGAAAGUCAAAGGCUCAACCUUUGAAAGCCGGUGGAUACUGUGGGACUAGAGUACGGAAGAGGCGAGUGGAAUUCCUGGUGUAGCGGUGGAAUGCGCAGAUAUCAGGAGGAACACCAAUAGCGAAGGCAGCUCGCUGGGACGUUACUGACACUGAGGCGCGAAAGCGUGGGGAGCGAACAGG
rnacentral:rRNA from 1 species